AGCGAACGCUGGCGGCGUGCUUAACACAUGCAAGUCGAGUGCGCGGUUCGUAGCAAUACGAACUGGCGCACGGCGCACGGGUGAGGAACACGUGGGCAACAUGCCCUCCGAUGGGGAAUAACCCGCCGAAAGGCGGGCUAAUACCGCAUACGAUUCCGGGGACCUCGGUUCCUGGACUGAAAGCCCGCAAGGGCGUCGGUGGAGUGGCCCGCGGCCGAUUAGCUUGUGGCGGGAACGCCCACCAAGCAAUGAUCGGUAGCCGGUCUGAGAGGAUGAUCGGCCACACUGGAACUGAGACACGGUCCAGACUCCUACGGGAGGCAGCAGUCGGGAAUUUUGGGCAAUGGCGAAAGCCUGACCCAGCAACGCCGCGUGAAGGAUGAAAUCCCUCGGGAUGUAAACUUCGCAAGAACGGGAAGAAUAAGCCGGUGUAAAUAUCACCGUGAUGACGGUACCGUUUGUAAGCUCCGGCUAACUCCGUGCCAGCAGCCGCUGUAA
rnacentral:rRNA from 1 species